UCUAUCACUAGAGCGUGUGGUCCCGAUAAGACGGAAUCGAAAUCGGGAAGACGAGGAAGAGGGAUUUCUCCCGAUACAUCGGGAGAAGCUCGGACCCCCGCCAUGGCGGGGAGCAUCUACGGAGACCCUCUGGGCGAGUAUACGUCCAUAAAUUGUGGGAUGAAACCAACCGGUGACGGUUGACCAAAGUCUGACAACCAAUAUACA
rnacentral:ncRNA from 3 species